GCGCGCGCCCGCAAAAGCGGGCAGCUGCGCACUCCCGCCCCCUCCCCUGUCUCACCGGAAAGCGGCAGGGGAGCAGGGAACCCGACCCCGGCCGCCGGCAAGGGAGUACUCGGCGGCGAUAAGCGCCUGGUGGAACAAAACGCCACCGCGUGUCCACCGCCACUGCCAGAGCCAGGAUGAGAUUCCAGGUUCAUGGGCACCCCGGGCACCGGCGGGGGUGAGCGGAGAGUGUAGAGGAGCGGCGAGGCCUUAAGCUUCCCGCAGGAGCCUGCUACGCGCUCCCGGGCGCAGGCGCCUGUCGGUGGCGGGGUAGCCCGCGUUGAAGAGAUACCGCACCGCGGCACGCCGCCCGGCUCAGCUGGGCACCGCGGGCAAGGGAGAGGAGCCGCACACGGCCCUGGGAGGUGAUAAACGCGGGGACGCGUGGCCCCAGUUCACAAAGGCUGACGAGGCCGGUGACGCCGGGAAUACGGCAGGCGGCGAGGAGGUGCCGCAGAGACGAGGUGGCGACGAGAGCCCGAGAGCCGCCGGCGGGGUGAUGAGGGAAGCCGCGGACACAGCCGCUCCGCCCGGAAAUCCCAGGGGCCUCACCGCCCGGGGCACCGAUCUCCCGAGGGCGUCCCCACCAGGCCUUGGGCACCGGCGGGCCUCUGCCUCCCUACGACACCCUCCCGGCAGGGAAAACCAGCGGGCGCCGCUGACUUGCUCGAGUCCCCAAUGUCAGCCCCUCUCCCCACACAGGGGCACACACGGGGCCCGCCCUUUCACUUGGGGAACGUCGCGGGGCCCCGCACCGCCAGCAGCGACCGGCCGGGAGGUGACGCCCACGCGUUAAGGCUGCCAUCGGUGUCGUUGGAGUAGACGCGUGGCCUCGGGCAAGGAGAAUGGCGAGGCGGCAUGGAGUUGGGAAGACCCAGGCAGUGAGGACAGACCCGCGGGACGGACCUAACCUGGGAUCCGGGACACAGCCGCGUGCCAGGAAAACCGGCGCGGCCUGUCCUCCCGGGAGGGGGUGGUCCGCCGGCGCCCGGAACUAGGACUGUCCUCCCGCCCCCUCCUCAGGCCACCCAUGAUCCCCGCACCCUGAUCUGACCCAGUGCCUCCAUAAGGAAGGAAACCGACACUUCUGAAGAGCGUUUAUUUAAUUCAUUUCAUCACAGUGUUAGCAUUGUUUCAUAUUCCUUGUACAUAAAGCUUUUCUGCUGUGCCUAGGGUGCAGAGUCAGCGAAACACCACGCAAUGUGUUACUGAAUAUUCUCCUUUACUCCAUCUAGGAGUCCCUGUACCCCUGGGUGCCCAAUAUACGGCAGGAAAUCCCAGGUUAACAAAAGUCAGUGAAGAACUCUCACUGGGGCUCGACCAGAGGGAGGAGACAGCAUCAGCACAGGCUGCAAAGCGGUUUAGAAUUCUAGCAGGUGCUCGGAAUGCGCAUGCGCAAGUGACGCUGUACCUCCUCUGUGUCACAAAGGGAAUCUGGUUCCUAAGCAACAGACCUCUAGCCCAAUGGCUGCCCUGUGGUCUGAACAUGUAAGGGGCUCCCCAAGUGUGCAGGUCACGGUGGAGGUGCUGUGGCCUGUGAAGUCAGAAGUAGACACGUGAGGAUGAUUCUGCAGCCGUGAGGAUGACAUGCCCGCGGAUGGUUGGGGACCUGAUGAUUGGCUCAUGGCUCUCCUCAUUAUGGCAUUUCUUGCUCUAAUAGUGCUUCCCAAAUCUCUCCUUCUGGGACUAAAUGCAGAGUGAUAAUCAAGGAGAUCCUGUGAUGCUGAGACCACACGACGUGUGGACAUGCUGAUAUUUUUUGAGCUGAGAUUGCUGGAGGCAUGACGCUGGACAGGGACGGAGACUCCCAAAGGGCAGGCAUGAAGGUGGACACUGAAUAUUUUCCUUUCUGUUUCCAGUCAUUUCCAUUGCCUUUAAGGAAUUCCCUGUUCUGGGAGCCAGCAUACUCUGCUCUGUCAGGGAGUGUGACCCGCAAGUAAGUGUAAAGGAUCAGCCCGAGUCCCCCUCUUACCUUCUGAUUGGCAUGGCAGAGAUUUACCACAGGUGUGGCCCGUGAAUUGUUCCAGAUCUGAAACAAGAUUGUAGCCAAGGGAGAAUUCUUCCCUGAAGAAUCCGUUCCUGAGUUUGCUGAUGUCCAAGGGAGGAUGCCCAAGUGGAACUGACGGUGACCAUUCUUCUCAUAGCCCAUGAAGGCAGGUCAGUGUAAUCUCACCCUGAUCUGACCCUGUGCCUUCAUAAGGAUGGAAGCCAAGACUUAGGAGGUGUCUGUUUAUAUAAAUCAUUUCUUCACCAUGUUAACAUUGUUUCACGUUCCUUGUAUUAAAAGAUUGUCUUUAGGAACUGCAAAUUUAUCAGUAAGAAAACAUCAAUUUCUUUUA